UUCUGUGUGGCCGCUGAUGACCCGCUGACGGGGAGCCGAGCUGGAGAAACGUGCGGAGCCUGCUGCAGGCUGGGCUUUUCCAGCAGGUGGUGCAGAUCCUGUGUAACAUUUAGCAUGACGGUGGCACGGCUGUCAAACCAGGAUGCUGACAUCGGUGUGACACUACUAACUGAACGGCAGAGUCACCGAAUCCCGUGAGUUUCCCAGAGCGAUGGGAGAGGGGGAAGUCCAAACACUCAGGACCAGGGGAGGGAACGGGCUGGGCAAGUGUACCAGGUCCCCCUUCCUGGAGAGACUUGGGAGACUUGUCCCAUCACAGCCCGAGGGCACGGACUGUCUUGGGGACAUAUAUUAGGUGCCUCAUGGCUGGCUGUUUAAUAAAUAGCUCCAGGCACAGAUCGAAGUCAAGACGGGUGUCCGCCUUGCAACCACAGUCCUCGGUCUUUUCUAGCUUCCAGAGCACCCAGAAUCUGCCGCUUACACCAACAGACAUUUUCAAGGGCCUAAUGCCAAGGGCUGCUUCUAGCAUCAGGUUCCCAGCUUCAUCCUCGGGGAGGUGCCUCCGUUAAUGCCUCUCUCCUGGGCUGCCUCCCCUCCGGCAGGUGGUGGAGGCCAGUAUCUCAAGUGGGAUCCCUUGGAAUUCAUCAUUUAGGGGCGAGGGGGAGCUGCUCACUGUCAUGCAAGAAGGGAAGGAGGCUUUUCACCCAUCCCUGGAGUCCAGAGCCACUUGGCCCUCUCAGUUUGGGAGCCGGGCAGCCUAGGGACGAGUGGACUGUCAAUCACCAGAAGGGUCAUUAUCGUCUUCCUUCCCGGGCUCAUCAGCACAGAGUGAAGCUGGCCCCAGCGGAGAGCAGGUGUGUGAAACAGUAGCCCACCUGGGGCUGACAGAGCCCUCUUCUGGGCCAACUCCAAGCCUGUGACAGCCCUGGGCAAGCCAGCCUGCUUCCACAGCAGUGACACUUUGGAAGUCUUCCUGGAAAAGAGACGAGGCCGAGAGAAUCUCUGAGCUGUCAAAGCACGCACGACCCCAGGCUGGAAAAUUCCACCCGAGCUAACAAUAAAAUUCCUCUCUGCCUUUGCACUGCUGGCUGUGGACUUGUCUAUUCACCCCCCGGAACCCGGAACUCCGGGCAGAACACUCCCUCCCUUUUCUUUUUAGCCUGUAGCUCAGUUAGACCUUCGGCAGCACCUGCUCGCCCGGCCUCUCUGAUGGCGAAAUGAGAUCUGGCUCAGCAUCCCCUAAAGCCGGGCCAGUGACCUCCACGGAGCACAAGUGGGGCCCGGGCACCGUGGCGGCCCUGCACCCCCAGCUCCCCAGCGCAACGUGUUGGGGCAGCUUCUGUGUGACGGGCGUGGCGCCAGGCACCUCCACACACUGUCCUCUCAUUUCAUACAUACAGCCACCUACAGAUCCGACGCUUCUCCCCAUUCUCCAGAUGCGGGAAGCAAGUCCGGGCCCGGAAGUGACGACGCGGUGGGUGGGGCUUCCACGUGCACCAGACCACCCGGAGGGUUUGUUCAAACACAGACCCCUGGGCUCAGUCUGGGUUUCCAGCUCAGUAGUUCUGGGGUGGGGCCUGAUAACUGGCAUCUCGGCAAGUUCCUAAGCGAUGUGGAUGCUGCUGCCUGGGGACCAGACUUUGAGGACCGCUGGCUUCCAC